GAUGAACGCUAGCGGCAGGCCUAACACAUGCAAGUCGAGGGGUAGCAGGAUUAAGCUUGCUUAAUUGCUGACGACCGGCGCACGGGUGCGUAACGCGUAUGCAACCUACCUUAUACUGGGGUAUAGCCCGGAGAAAUUCGGAUUAAUCCCCCAUAGUACUAAUGAAUCGCAUGGUUUAUUAGUUAAAGCAUUGCGGUAUAAGAUGGGCAUGCGUCCUAUUAGCUAGAUGGUGAGGUAACGGCUCACCAUGGCUACGAUAGGGAGGGGGCCUGAGAGGGGGGCCCCCCCACACUGGUACUGAGACACGGACCAGACUCCUACGGGAGGCAGCAGUGAGGAAUAUUGGUCAAUGGGCGCAAGCCUGAACCAGCCAUGCCGCGUGCAGGAAGAAUGCCCUAUGGGUUGUAAACUGCUUUUAUUUGGGAAUAAACCUCUUUACGUGUAGAGAGCUGAAGGUGCCAAAUGAAUAAGCACCGGCUAACUCCGUGCCAGCCGCCGCCGUAA
rnacentral:rRNA from 1 species